CCCGCGGUAGUUCAGCCUGGUAGAACGGGGGACUGUAGAUCCCCAUGUCGCUGGUUCAAAUCCGGCCCGCGGGACCA
rnacentral:tRNA from 1 species